UGGAAUCGCUAGUAAUCGCGGAUCAGAAUGCCGCGGUGAAUACGUUCCCGGGUCUUGUACACACCGCCCGUCACACCAUGGGAGUCGGAAAUGCCCGAAGUCUGUGACCCAACCUUAGGGAGGGAGCAGCCGAAGGCAGGUCGGAUGACUGGGGUGAAGUCGUAACAAGGUAAC
rnacentral:rRNA from 1 species